GGUAAGGUGAUAUGAACCGUUAUAACCGGCGAUACCCGAAUGGGGAAACCCAGUGUGAUUCGUCACACUAUCAUUAACUGAAUCCAUAGGUUAAUGAGGCGAACCGGGGGAACUGAAACAUCUAAGUACCCCGAGGAAAAGAAAUCAACCGAGAUUCCCCCAGUAGCGGCGAGCGAACGGGGAGGAGCCCAGAGCCUGAAUCAGCAUGUGUGUUAGUGGAAGCGUCUGGAAAGGCGCGCGAUACAGGGUGACAGCCCCGUACACAAAAGCGCAUGUGCUGUGAGCUCGAUGAGUAGGGCGGGACACGUGGUAUCCUGUCUGAAUAUGGGGGGACCAUCCUCCAAGGCUAAAUACUCCUGACUGACCGAUAGUGAACCAGUACCGUGAGGGAAAGGCGAAAAGAACCCCGGCGAGGGGAGUGAAAAAGAACCUGAAACCGUGUACGUACAAGCAGUGGGAGC
rnacentral:rRNA from 1 species